CCAGCAACUUGGAAGAAUGUAUAACGACUAUUCGUAUAAAAUUCUAGAUAGAAAACUGAUAAUGACUACUAUCUAUCUAUUAGUCUUGACCAAAUUACGUGCCAGCAGUCGCGGCAACACGCAGAAGACAAGUGUUAUUCAUCUUUAUUCGGUUUAAAGGGUACCUAGACGGGAAAUCAAGCCAUAGUAGGGACUAAUUUUCUAGAGUUUUAUGGGAAAAAGUGGAAUGUCUGGAAAAGAGAUAUAAUGUUGUGAAACUGGAUAGACGGGUAACGGCGUAGGCAACUUUUUAUGUAAAAACUGACGUUGAGGGACGAAGCCCUGGGUAGCGAUAGGGAUUAGAUACCCCAGUAGUCCGGGGAGACAAUGAUGAGUGCCAUAGGCUAGAUAAAUUAGUCUAUAAAUGAAAGUGCAAGCAUUCCACCUCAAGACUAAAGCGGCAACGCCCAAAUUGAAAUCAUUAGGCCGCUAUUGAAACCAGUAGUGAUGUAUGUUAUUUAAUUCGAUGAUCCGCGAAUAACCUUACCACGUUUUGAAUAUUUUUGAAAAAGCAUUUUAAAGAGUGUUUUUUCUAAGCUUUUCAGUAGUGCAAAAAUUAUACAAGCGCUGCACGGCUGUCUUUAGUUAAUGUCGUGAGACUUUGGUUAAUUCCAAGAAUUAACGAAAACCCUAGUUUUAUUUAUUUAAAUAAAACAAUUCUCAUCUGUAAAGGAUAAGUUAAGAGGGAUUAAGGCAAGUC
rnacentral:rRNA from 1 species